AAGACUUUAAGUUAAAUAAACUAUUAGCCUUCAAAGUUGGAAAUACUUAAGCCUAGGGUAAGUCUUA
rnacentral:tRNA from 1 species